AUUGAACGCUGGCGGCAUGCCUUACACAUGCAAGUCGAACGGCAGCACGGGAGCAAUCCUGGUGGCGAGUGGCGAACGGGUGAGUAAAGUAUCGGAACGUGCCCAGUCGUGGGGGAUAACGUAGCGAAAGUUACGCUAAUACCGCAUACGAUCUAUGGAUGAAAGCGGGGGAUCGCAAGACCUCGCGCGAUUGGAGCGGCCGAUAUCAGAUUAGGUAGUGGGUGGGGUAAAGGCUCACCAAGCCGACGAUCUGUAGCUGGUCUGAGAGGACGACCAGCCACACUGGGACUGAGACACGGCCCAGACUCCUACGGGAGGCAGCAGUGGGGAAUUUUGGACAAUGGGCGAAAGCCUGAUCCAGCCAUGCCGCGUGCAGGAUGAAGGCCUUCGGGUUGUAAACUGCUUUUGUACGGAACGAAAAGGUUUGGCCUAAUAAGCUGAGCUCAUGACGGUACCGUAAGAAUAAGCACCGGCUAACUACGCGCCAGCAGCCGCCGUAA
rnacentral:rRNA from 1 species